rnacentral:rRNA from 1 species
AACGAACGCUGGCGGCAGGCUUAACACAUGCAAGUCGAUCGCCCCGCAAGGGGAGCGGCGGACGGGUGAGUAACGCGUGGGAACGUACCUUUUGGUUCGGAACAACUCCGGGAAACUGGAGCUAAUACCGGAUAAGCCCUAACGGGGAAAGAUUUAUCGCCGAAAGAUCGGCCCGCGUCUGAUUAGCUAGUUGGUGAGGUAACGGCUCACCAAGGCGACGAUCAGUAGCUGGUCUGAGAGGAUGAUCAGCCACACUGGGACUGAGACACGGCCCAGACUCCUACGGGAGGCAGCAGUGGGGAAUAUUGGACAAUGGGCGAAAGCCUGAUCCAGCCAUGCCGCGUGAGUGAUGAAGGCCUUAGGGUUGUAAAGCUCUUUUGUCCGGGAAGAUAAUGACUGUACCGGAAGAAUAAGCCACGGCUAACUUCGUG